rnacentral:misc_RNA from 1 species
GAAGAAGAACGUGCAGCACAUAAUGCUACCAAAAUGGCAGCUAUGGAAAGGGAAGUGGAAUUGGAACAUAGAGCUGUUGAGGCAUCCACAGCCCUUGCUAGAGUCCAGAGAAUUGCUGAUGAGAGAACAACAAAGGCAGCAGAACUUGAGCAGAAAGUGGCACUGCUUGAGUUUGAGUGUGCAUCAUUAAAUCAAGAGUUGCAAGAUCUGGAAGCUCGCACUCGUCGUGAACAAAAGAAGUCCUCAGAAGAGGCAAAUCAAGUGAUUCAGAUCCAGGCUUGGCAGGAAGAAGUGGAGCGUGCACGUCAAGGUCAGAGGGAUGCUGAGAGCAAGCUUUCUUCUAUGGAGGCUGAAGUGCAAAAGAUGAGGGUUGAAUUGGCUGCCAUGAAGAGGGACGCUGAGCACUAUUCACGGCAGGAGCACAUGGAGCUGGAGAAGCGCUACCG